GACGAACGCUGGCGGCGUGCCUAAUACAUGCAAGUUGAGCGAUGAAGAUUGGUGCUUGCACCAAUUUGAAGAGCAGCGAACGGGUGAGUAACGCGUGGGGAAUCUGCCUUUGAGCGGGGGACAACAUUUGGAAACGAAUGCUAAUACCGCAUAACAACUUUAAACAUAAGUUUUAAGUUUGAAAGAUGCAAUUGCAUCACUCAAAGAUGAUCCCGCGUUGUAUUAGCUAGUUGGUGAGGUAAAGGCUCACCAAGGCGAUGAUACAUAGCCGACCUGAGAGGGUGAUCGGCCACAUUGGGACUGAGACACGGCCCAAACUCCUACGGGAGGCAGCAGUAGGGAAUCUUCGGCAACGGACGAAAGUCUGACCGAGCAACGCCGCGUGAGUGAAGAAGGUUUUCGGAUCGUAAAACUCUGUUGGUAGAGAAGAACGUUGGUGAGAGUGGAAAGCUCAUCAGGUGACGGUAACUACCCAGAAAGGGACGGCUAACUACGUG
rnacentral:rRNA from 1 species